rnacentral:rRNA from 1 species
CGGGAAGAGCUCAAAUUUAAAAUCUGGCAGUGUAUUCUGUCCGAGUUGUAGUCUAGAGAAGCAUCAUCCGUGCUGGACCAUGUACAAGUCUCUUGGAACAGAAUGUCAAAGAGGGUGAGAAUCCCGUCUUG